UCCAAGCAGCAAUCAGAACGGCUAAUGACCAUCUGCUGCCAGAGCCUUGUCGGGAAUGCUACUGAACAUUCAUUACCACGAGUCUUCCGGGCUACAUUGAACCAGCUUCUGUAGAAGAGAGUUAGUUCUCUGAACCUUCAGAUUCUGAACACCAGAACCCUACAGCUUCUAAUUAGCUUCACAAUUGGAAUACAGGCAUGACAUUUGCAUUUGAAGUUUGGGGACCAAGGACCAUUAGCAAUUCAGCAGAAGCAAUGUUUGGAACAGGGUCAGUUCUGACUUUCAUGGCCAUGAAGAAAUGAUGGCAGAAGAAGAAGAAGAAAGCACCCCGCCACUCCCUGGCAUGCUGCUGUGUUGUGUGAAGGGCAGCAAUAUGGACAGGCCUCACAUUCUACCAGAAAUCAAAGCAGCACCAUGAAAAACAUGGAUAUGACACCAAAGAUUGCAAGUAUCUUCAUUUGUUUCACAUCCUAGAAGCUAUCAUCAACCAUGAGAAGAAUUUACCAGUCUGGGGUGAUGACGCCACAUGAGGUCCUGAGUUCACAUCUCCAGCACUCAUUUCAAAGAGCUGGUCAUGAUUGUCCAUGUGCCUACGCCUCCAGAACUAGGUGGGACAGGGGCAAGAGGAUCUCUGAGAUCCACUGACUUUCUCUGUGUUAAUGAGAGACCCUGCAUUAUGGGGUAAAGGGAAAAGGGGCAGAGCAGAAAACCUGUAUCUUUCUCCAGCCUCUGUGUAGACAUGGGCUCGUGUCUCCUCCACAAACAUGCUUUUACACACACACACACACACACACACACACACACACACACUUCUUCAGUGUUCUAUCUACCAGCUGAAUGAAAUACUUCUUUAUUUUCACUAUUAUGUUCAUCUGAUGUGGGAUUCCCCUCUGUACGCUGUGAAUAUCAUUUGUUAAUAAAAGAACUGCUUUAGGCCUAUAGCAAUGCUAUAGGGAACAGAGCUAGACAGGGAAAACUAAGCUGAAUGCUUGGAGGAAGGAGGUGGAGUCUGAAAGAAAUCAUGUAGCCCUGCUGGAGCCAGACAGAACUUUAGCUGGUAAGCCACAGCCACGUAGUGAUAUAUAGAUUAAUAGAAAUGGGUUAAAUUAAUACAUAAGAGUUAGCCAAUAAGAAGCUAGAACUAAUGAGCCAAGCAGUGCUUUAAUUAAUAGAGUUUCUGUGUGAUUAUUUCAGUUCUGGGUGGUUAGGAUGAACAAGUGGCCUCCCUCUUACAUUCAUCAAAGUAUAAUUUAUAUGGAGUAAAAUGCACAGCUGGUGUUUUGCUCUUAACAUUUACUUAUAGACAUGCACACAUUCCCAACACCCACAUGGAUGUAUAGAACUCAC